GACGAACCGUCCUAACGUUGUUCGGAAUCACUGGGCUUAAAGGGCGCGUAGGCGGUCGGCAAAGUCAGGGGUGAAAUCUUUCGGCUUAACCGGAGAAGUGCCUUUGAAACUAGUCGACUCGAGCGAGAUAGGGGCAUGUGGAACUUCCGGUGGAGCGGUGAAAUGCGUUGAUAUCGGAAGGAACGCCGGUGGCGAAAGCGACAUGCUGGAUCUCUUCUGACGCUGAGGCGCGAAAGCUAGGGGAGCAAACGGG
rnacentral:rRNA from 1 species